UAACAAACGCAACCCAGUGUUAGGUGGAACCAGACGUGCCGUUGGGGAAGAAGAAAAAACACAGGAGACUACCGGGGUCAACUCGGAGGAAGGAGGGGAUGACGUCAAGUCAUCAUGCCCCUUAUGUCUUGGGCUGCACACGUGCUACAAUGGCCGGUACAAUGAGCUGCGAUGCCGUGAGGCGGAGCGAAUCUCAAAAAGCCGGUCUCAGUUCGGAUUGGGGUCUGCAACUCGACCCCAUGAAGUCGGAGUUGCUAGUAAUCGCAGAUCAGCAUUGCUGCGGUGAAUACGUUCCCGGGCCUUGUACACACCGCCCGUCACGUCACGAAAGUCGGUAACACCCGAAGCCGGUGGCCCAACCCCUUGUGGGAGGGAGCUGUCGAAGGUGGGACUGGCGAUUGGGACGC
rnacentral:rRNA from 1 species